CAAUAGCGUAUAUUAAAGUUGUUGCAGUUAGAACGCUCGUAGUCGGAUUUCGGGGCGGGCCGACCGGUCUGCCGAUGGGUACGCACUGGUCGGCGCGUCCUUCCUUCCGGAGACCGUGCCUACUCUUAACUGAGCGGGGGCGGGAGACGGAUCGUUUACUUUGAAAAAAUCAGAGUGUUUCAAGCAGGCAGCUCGCUCUUGCAUGGAUUAGCAUGGGAUAAUGAAAUAGGACUUUGGUGCUAUUUUGUUGGUUUCGAACACCGAAGUAAUGAUAAAUAGGGACAGUCAGGGGCACUCGUAUUCCGCCGAGAGAGGUGAAAUUCUCAGACCAGCGGAAGACGAACCACUGCGAAAGCAUUUGCCAGGGAUGUUUUCACUGA
rnacentral:rRNA from 1 species